rnacentral:lncRNA from 1 species
CUAACCCUAUCUUAUUUCUCAAAUCUGCCGCCUCUAUAUUCUCUCAUCUCUAUCAACCCCUCAACCUUACCCUAGUUGCAUCAACCGUCGCCUCCUUUUUUCCGUCUUCUUCGCUGACUACCCGUCAAUUUCUAAGCCUAAAAUGGCUUAUCUAUUUCCAUUCUCACCUUCUCUGAGGUCUUUCAGGGCCCUGGGCCACGCUGACUUGCAUCUAGGGUUUGCCAUCUAGUCUGUUCUUGGCUACUUUAGCAUGAUUCCAAGUGAAAUCAUGUUGUACUUAUUACGAUGUUUGAGAUUUUUGACAGGUUCUUUCAUCUCUCCUUGGGUUUCUUCUGAAACCAUAAUUUUUUCUUACAUCUCCUAGAUCUGUACGAUUUUUAAACGAUUUGAGUUUAUUCCUUUGAAGUUUGCAGUAUCCUUGUAACUCUUUGCAAAAAUCAUCAGUUUCAAAGUGUUUUCACCUUCUUCUCAAAUUAGGUUUUUUAGAACUUCUUCUAAAACUUUGUUUAAACUGAUUCUUUAUAUUUAAACUUCCAUCUCUUGCAUAUUUCGAAUGAUUCUAUGAUUUUACUCCCUUUUGAACUCGCCUAUGUUGAAAACCGUAAUUUUUGAGUUCUAAUCUUGGGGUUUUGAGCUUUGUUUGGUAACGUGUUCAGUUAAUCAACAUGUUUAUGUGAUUCUGUGAUUUUACCAUAUGAUUGCUUGUUAAGGUUACUAAUUGUGGUUAUCCCUUCCUAUUGUGUGAUUUCACAAUAUUUUGUUCACCAACGUUUUUGAUUCUUCGCUUCUGCUACUUGUAUCAUAUCUAUUCUACCAAUUCAGACUAUGCUCGACAUGAAUCCCCAAUUUAUAUACGAUUCUUGUCCUACUCGACCUCUUAGAGUUUUGAUUUUUUUUACUUACUAUGUGCUUGUUCUUAUAAAGUUGUGUUAAAUUAGUGCUGUUUUCUACUUUUGGGUCAUUGAGUCUUUGUGUUCAUAUUUCACUGAUUUUGCAUGAUAUCUCUGCUUAUUUUUAACCUUGUAGAAUAUAUUUUAACCUUAUUUUGCGGUCAACUAAUGUUACUUCUCCCAAAAUAAAUUGCUCAUUAUGUUUAGUAAUUGCAUAGUCCACCAAUGUAGAGUCCCAAUCGACCCAUAUUCUGCCGCCAAGAGCUCAUCAUAGUUAUCCACCCAUUUCCAGUUUUUCAGAGAUUUCCUAAACACAGAGUCAACAUUACGUUGUUUCACUCUAUGCUUAAUUAUUGCUAUCAAUACUAUAUGAUAAAUUCUGCAAAUUUCUUUAGUUCUAUUUUUUUAUACACCUUGUUCAGACCCCUUAGAUUCCAUGCAAUAAAGUUCAUUAUGAUGUAAUAGGUAAAAUUGGAGGUCCACCCUUGACUUUCUUGUUAUGCAUUCCCUUUGUACCUAGAGCUUCAGACACUUGAGCAAUUUUAUGAGCAGUAUCAACCAAGAGCUUUGAAGAAAAAUAGAAAAGAACAAGUACGUGGCUAUUCAUUUUUAGGUUAAACGACGUGUAGUUGAAAAUCGUCGAUAGGUAAGUGCAAUUGUACAUCUAAAGCAGCUAUGGACUAAAUGAUUGAGAUACCCUAACUUGAAUUGUAAAGACACAUAAGCAACCAUGUCGAAUCUCAUGCUCUUUCUUCUAAUAUAUAGAAGAAAUUUUAUGUGACGUAGCGCUCACCCCAAAAAAGAAGUUUGUCUUUCUUUGUCUGUCGUCCGUUUAACCCUGUUUUUUUUACUUUUUUGCUCAAUAACUUUAAACCCUGUUGCUAUCACAUGCGUCAAAUUGUCAUACAAACACUGACCCUUUGCACAAAAAAAUGAAAAAAGAAAAGAAAAACAAGAACUUAUCCGAAUGAUAUGAAAGUAGAGCAACGAGCAGAACCAAAGCUUCACAAAAAUCAGCUUACAAUCUAGACAUGGCUUCCCCAACUUGAUACUUUGCUUUUUGUUCUUGUUUUUCCGGUAAGUCCCAUAAUUUUACUCCUCUUUAAUUACAUAAUUGAUAGGCAAGAUGACUGUGUGUUUCUGUUAAUCUUGGUGGGUAUUCAUUAAUUAAUUUGUUGAACUUGGAUUUUUUGGAGCUUUAUCUUUGUGUUUAUGCAGUUUGACUAGCUAUUGGACUUAAUUUCAGUUUACUUGUAAUUAUAUACUCAAAAGAUUUAAAACCCCCCAUAUACCUUUGAAUUCAUCAUCUUAAAGGAGAAAUUCCCUGUGCAAAACUCCCUCAGGAAAUUGAUUUUGAGGUUUGCAUGAACUUCCGUUCAAAUUAUGUACAUGAGGUGAAGAGUUUAAUAUAUAGUCUAAUUGACUUAUAAAUUAUGAGUAAUGUCGCCUUCGUGUGACCAACAUGUCAUGGGUUUGACCCGUGGAAAGAGUCACUUGUAGAAUUGCAGGGUAAGACUGCAUACAACAGAUUCUUGUUGUCCGGCCCUUCAGCGAAUCCCCGUAGAGCGGUAGCUUAAUUGAACCGAGCUGCUCUUCACUCUCAGCAAGUUUACUUCAAGGAUACUUUGUGCAUCGGGCUGUCAUUUUAUUAUAUUACUCAUAUGUAUGUUUCUUUUUCUGCAUUUUUGAAGGAAAGUGUAGCAAAUUUUUACCAAUAAGAAAUCUGUUUUGUUAGCUCAUACUUGAAUCUGCAGGUUGUGCCGCAUGUCAUACUGUCUACAGCUUCAAUUUGGCUUUUCAGCAGGAGAGAUCUAUGUUCAAGUAAGAUAUUCAAAGAAAAUAGAAUAAACACCUGUGUUCCCUUUUCUCUUUCUUUUCCUUGGAAUCAUGUUUGACAUAUUAAUAUAUUUCUCCCCGACAAUCCAUUCGAUUAUUCUUGGUUAAAUGGAUUGCUAGUUGUUUUGGAAAUAUAGUAUGUUGUUACGACAUUAUGGAUAAUGUAAAGCUGCAACUCAAGUCCAUGAUUAUCGGAAGUAACAUAGAAUGAUACAUUAUGGAGUCAAGAUAAGCUGUUGCUUUAGUGUAGUCAACAAAAUAUAGCUAGGAGGAGACGUAAUGAUUGGUAUCACCUGCUAACAUUCUUGAGUAGUCCAUAUUAGCACUUUGGUGAAUCUUCAUUGUCUCUAUUAUUUGAAUGAAAAGUGCAGAACCUGAAUACCUCUUGCUCAUUUUUUCUCUGUGGUCGAAGAACUUUUGUUUUUACAGUUUGACUUCGGCUUUAGAUGGUAGUAUAUAAGAGGGUCAUGCAGGGGGUCAUCAGUUUGAUUAAGUUCCAAUACGAAUUAACUAGAAGUCAGAAUCACUAGCAAAUCCGUUUAAUUUUCAUUGUGGUCUCUAAUACACAUGUUAAAGCAUUUCCACCUGUAAAGCUUCUGUAAAGAUAACUUAUGAAAAGGAGGAAGACAGUAGUGCCAGGUACUUGAUGUGAAAAUCCAAUUUCAGAUUGUUUUAUGAUGUAGUGAAUGCGACUAUUCUCUUUCAACAAGAGAUUAACUGGUCAAUCACUAACCAAAUUGUGAUCAAUUAGGAUUUUAUUUUAGGAGGGAUCCGUAGACAUAAGGGACCCAAUUUUAUGAAAGGAUGUUCGCGAGCAAAUGUACUCAUACCAUUUCCUUUUUGGGGAAAUAUGACCCAAUUAUAUGAAAGUAUGUUCGCGAGCAAAUAUACUCAUACCAUUUCCUUUUUGGGGAAAUACACAGAAAAAGAUUUCCUUUUUAAGAGGGAGAGGGAAACUACUUGGGCAUGGUAUGGAUUCCUUAAUCUGUAUCAGGCCUUCUAGUCUUUUAUAUUCAGCUGAGUUCAAACCUAAGUUCCCCGUUAAGCAUGGCAUAUCUGUGGAUUUUGUGGAAAGACUUUUGUUUUUUUGGGAGACUGUGUUUGNNNNNNNNNNNNNNNNNNNNNNNNNNNNNNNNNNNNNNNNNNNNNNNNNNNNNNNNNNNNNNNNNNNNNNNNNNNNNNNNNNNNAAGCUAGUACGAAUAUUCCCAUUUUCUCCUCUUUAAAAUACUUUUUGUCUCCAGUACAUUUGAACGCUACUGAAUGUGUAACAUAUUUCUAGCAAAGAUGAGAUAAAAAAGAAGUAACUUAGAAAGGAGUCUAAAACAGUAACACGGCAACAACAACAACAACAACCCACCAGAGUAACACGGCAACAACACUUAUCUAAAAUGCUGGAUCUUUGCAUAGUUGAUUUUGGUUUUACUGUUUUAAUGCAUUCAGUUAACCUUAUCUUCAUAAUCGUGAUACUCAAUUGUGUCUAUCUAUAUUACGUGAUGCUGGUGUAUACGCCAUAGAGUCUCUUCUCUAUCCAUCACCUUUGUGGUGCUUCACUAGUAUGCUACAUUAGUGCCUAUUACUUUCUGUUGGAACUAACAAACAGUUCGUUUUUCCACGAGGUAGUACUUCUAAUGAUACAUGUUAUUAGGGGCUGGGAGGUUCAUUAGUUGUUUCUGCUGAUGCGAGUUACGAAAGACAACAUAGACACCAGUUGAGGAGCGGUCAUCACCGUUUCCACCCCAAUCAGCAUCAGAGAAACAAUGCAUAGGUAUAGCAGAUGAAGGACGCAGCUAGACGCCAAAGUCACGCGUCCCAUUCAGAUACCGGAAGAGGAGCUUAACUGCACCCCAAUGAGUGACAGUAGGAGCGUGCAUGAACUGUGAGAGUUUAUUCACAGCAAAGGAGAUAUCAGGAUGAGUGAAGGAGAGANNNNNNNNNNNNNNNNNNNNNNNNNNNNNNNNNNNNNNNNNNNNNNNNNNNNNNNNNNNNNNNNNNCGCAGAACUUCAACACCAAGAAAGUAGCUUAGAUCACCCAUGUCUUUAAGAGAAAACUGAGUCCCAAGAGAGUCAAUCACACGGUUCAAGAAAGCUGAAUCAUUACCAGUCAAUAUGAGAUCAUCAACAUAUACUAAAAAAUAGGCCGUAAUACCAGAAUGUUGAAAGACGAAGAGCAAAGUGUCAGAGGUAGUGUUCUCGUAUUGCUCAUAAAAAUAUAUAUAGAGUACAGAGAGCUAUCAAAUCCCACCAACUAUUGAACUGUAUAAUAAUGAAAGAAUAUUCUACCAAUAAUAAAAAGAUACACAAAAGAUAUUUACAAUAUUUCCUAAUAUAAGCUUGGUUAAAUCUCAACCCGAAAUAUACUUCUCUCGCUAGGGAGAGCUCGUAUCGUUAUUCAUUAUAGAUUCUACGGAAAAGGGUCAGAACUGCCUCUUAACAUAUUGACGUCACAUUAAAAAUGCCCUCCGUUAACCUAUUUUGAAAAAAAUGCCCCUACAGUUAACAUUCUGGCAUAGUUGUGCCCCUAACGUAUUGACUCCAGUUUAAAAACGCACCUACUGUUAACCUAUUUUGAAAAAAAUGCCCCUACCGUUUUAAAUAUAAGUACAGUCAGUUGUUAGUUUGUAGGGCACAAAUAUGCCACAUUUUUAACGGUAGGGGAAUUUUCUUCAAAAUAGGUUAACGGAUGACAUUUUUAACCUGGAGUCAAUACGUUAGGGGCAGUUCUAACCCUUUUUCCUCAAAAAAAAAAAAGCCAUUUCCUGUCGGUUACUGAUUGGGAUAAAUUUAUCAAUGCUCAUUUCAGCACAAUUAUUUGAAUUUGCAGAUUUUAACAGUAAGGGAAACAAAAAUAACAGACCCAAGUUUUAUGGUCUUGAGAUUUGGUCCUGCUUUCCAACAAGUAAAUUUAAAUUUGCAUAAAUAUUACCCCCUUUGACUAAAUUUAUGUCAUGCGGUUAGGAUUUUGAGAGUUAAACAAGUAAUUUUUUUACCACGAUUUUCAUAUGUACUUUUUGAAAUGUUUACUAUCAUGACUUAUAGUACUUUUUAUAUUAUUUUCAUAUGUGUAAAUGUUAUUUCAAAAUAUUUAGAGAUUCAAUGUCAGAAUUCACGAUUAAAACUAAUAAAUUCGAUUCUCGAAAUUCAAGCUAUGUCACAUAAAUUGAAACAAAUAGAGUACUAAGUUUUUCUUCAACUGGAUGGGAGAAUUGGAUGAGCAAGAGUUCCUUCUGUAUUGAGAAUUGUAAUCUCUUGAAAUUUCGUCUUGGGUACAUAUGAGAAAUCCAUCCUAGAUUGCAUGUUCUCCACUAAAAUCAAAAUGACACCGCAUCCAAUUAGAGUUGCUAAACCAUCUUUUUCUUAACACUCGUAUUGUAUAACACCCACUAAAAGAGACGUUUUCCUACCAGAAUUAUAAGUGAAUAAUCUUAAAAACCAGUUUGUUUCAAAUUAAUCUAAAAAGUAAUCUCAAGUUUGUUUCAAAUUAAUCUCCAUAUAUCAUUUUUUAUUUAAUUGAUAUUCUUAGGUGUCACUGCAAACCAUGGAAGGAAAUGAGAGAAAGUUUUCCUUUUAUGGCUUUUAGUUGUUUGGAUAAGAAAGUCCAAGGACGUGAAUUGUUGGUGUUAGGGAUUAUCACGAGAUGAAUUAUUUUCUUCACUCAAAUCCUAGCCAUUAUUUGUUUUCCACUAUAAAUGUUCAGAAAAUGUAUCUUUUCUACACCCUAAUGGGAAUUUAUCAAGAUUAAUUAAUAGAUUAGAAAAGUAUAGUAGAGUUAUAGUGAAUAAUUACUUAAUGGACGAAUUAGCACCUUUCAUGGGUAGAGUACUAGUCAAUAAGCUUAUUGCUGACACAUCGAAUAAAAAAUUGUAGAAUAAUGCAUGAAAAAUAUUUAAAAGAAACAACACAUAUAAUAAAUUUACGUUGAAUAAUUAGACGACCCCUAAAUUUACCAAAAAAAUUUAUUUAGACACUCUAACUCAUGCCAUAACUUAUUAAUUGCAGCUCAAAAGAGAAGAGGCCGAGACAAAACUAGAAGCUCAUAAUGAAAAACAGUAAAGACACUAAUAUAAACUCGUCAAGGGAGUGAUCAAGAUCCCCUUCAAAGGCCCAUGGAGUCUCAUUCUCAAUCUCUGCCUCUUCCU